rnacentral:rRNA from 1 species
UAGAGUUUGAUCCUGGCUCAGAACGAACGUUGGCGGCGUGGAUUAGGCAUGCAAGUCGAACGAAUCCCAGCUUUGUAGCAAUACAGGGCUGGGGGAAGUGGCGAAAGGGGCAGUAAGGCGUGGCUAACCUACCCGGGGGUUGGGCAUAGCCGUCCUAACGGACGGGUAAUUCCCAGCGACGUAGCGAGAUCACCUGGUCUUGCUACCAAAGAAUUUCGCCUCCGGAGGGGGUCACGUGGUAUUAGCUAGUUGGUAGGGUAAUGGCCUACCAAGGCAAAGAUGCCUAGCUGGUGUGAGAGCAUGACCAGCGCCACUGGCACUGAGACACUGGCCAGACACCUACGGAUGGCUGCAGUCGAGGAUCUUCGGCAAUGGGCGCAAGCCUGACCGAGCGACGCCGCGUGUGCGAUGAAGGCCUUCGGGUUGUAAAGCACUGUCGAGGGGGAGGAAGCCGCAAGGUUGACCUAUCCCUGGAGGAAGCACGGGCUAAGUUCGUGCCAGCAGCCGCGGUAAGACGAACCGUGCGAACGUUGUUCGGAUUCACUGGGCUUAAAGGGCGCGUAGGCGGGCAUUCAAGUCAGGGGUGAAAUCUUUCGGCUCAACCGGAAAACGGCCCCUGAUACUGGAUGUCUUGAGGGAGGUAGGGGCAUGUGGAACUUCCGGUGGAGCGGUGAAAUGCGUAGAUAUCGGAAGGAACGCCGGUGGCGAAAGCGACGUGCUGGACCUCUUCUGACGCUGAGGCGCGAAAGCCAGGGGAGCAAACGGGAUUAGAUACCCCGGUAGUCCUGGCCCUAAACGAUGGGUAAA